rnacentral:rRNA from 1 species
GUGCCAGCAGCCGCGGUAAUACGUAGGUGGCAAGCGUUGUCCGGAAUUAUUGGGCGUAAAGGGAGCGCAGGUGGGAAUGUAAGUCAAUCUUAAAAGUGCGGGGCUUAACCCCGUGAUGGGAUAGAAACUACAUUUCUUGAGUGCAGGAGAGGAAAGUGGAAUUCCUGGUGUAGCGGUGAAAUGCGUAGAUAUCAGGAGGAACACCAGUGGCGAAGGCGACUUUCUGGACUGUAACUGACACUGAGGCUCGAAAGCCAGGGGAGCGAACGGGAUUAGAUACCCCGGUAGUCCUGGCCGUAAACGAUGGGUACCAGGUGUAGGAGGUAUCGACCCCUUCUGUGCCGAGUUAACGCAAUAAGUACCCGCCUGGGGAGUACGGCCGCAAGGCUGAAACUCAAAGGAAUUGACGGGGCCCGCACAAGCGGUGGAGUAUGUGGUUAAUUCGACGCAACGCGAAGAACCUUACCAGGGCUUGACAUUGAUUGCAAGCCAUAGAGAUAUGGGCCUCUUCUUCGGAAG